rnacentral:tRNA from 1 species
GCACCCGUAGCUCAAUUGGAUAGAGCAUCGGUCUUCGGAACCGAGGGUUGCAGGUUCAAGUCCUGCCGGGUGCGCUA